rnacentral:lncRNA from 1 species
AGGUGCUCCUUCUUCUGCUCAUGGUUGGAAGAAGUGCUUUCUUUUUAUUUCUUUUUCUUCCAUCGAGGAUUGAAAACUUGCUCACUGGGGCCAACUUAGGGAGUAUGUCCUUCAGACUCCUACACUAGGGGAUAUGGAACACUCAGUAUUUUAAUAACUUGCAUGAAAGAAUAGUGUCGUAUAAGACAUUCGCAUGGAUGAUGCGAUGAGAC